rnacentral:rRNA from 1 species
UACGUAGGGGGCUAGCGUUGUCCGGAAUCAUUGGGCGUAAAGAGCGUGUAGGCGGCCAGGUAGGUCCGCUGUGAAAACUCGAGGCUCAACCUCGAGAUGUCGGCGGAAACCAUCUGGCUAGAGUCCGGAAGAGGAGAGUGGAAUUCCUGGUGUAGCGGUGAAAUGCGCAGAUAUCAGGAAGAACACCCGUGGCGAAGGCGGCUCUCUGGGACGGUACUGACGCUGAGACGCGAAAGCGUGGGGAGCGAACAGG